rnacentral:rRNA from 1 species
GACGAACGCUGGCGGCGUGCUUAACACAUGCAAGUCGAACGGAAAGGCCCUGCUUUUGUGGGGUGCUCGAGUGGCGAACGGGUGAGUAACACGUGAGUAACCUGCCCUUGACUUUGGGAUAACUUCAGGAAACUGGGGCUAAUACCGGAUAGGUGCUCCUGCUGCAUGGUGGGGGUUGGAAAGUUUCGGCGGUUGGGGAUGGACUCGCGGCUUAUCAGCUUGUUGGUGGGGUAGUGGCUUACCAAGGCUUUGACGGGUAGCCGGCCUGAGAGGGUGACCGGCCACAUUGGGACUGAGAUACGGCCCAGACUCCUACGGGAGGCAGCAGAGGGGAAUAUUGCACAAUGGGCGGAAGCCUGAUGCAGCAACGCCGCGUGCGGGAUGACGGCCUUCGGGUUGUAAACCGCUUUCGCCUGUGACGAAGCGUGAGUGACGGUAAUGGGUAAAGAAGCACCGGCUAACUACGUG